rnacentral:snRNA from 1 species
GGAUGUGAGGGUGAUCUGGCUGUGACAUCUGUCACUCCAAUGAUCGCCAGUGUUGACUCGGCUGAUCUGGCUGGCUAGGAAUGUCUCCUUCCUCCCUCACUGCUCCACGUGCAUCCCUCCCAAAGCUGCACAAUGGGUGGAAAAGGAUGACCAUCCCUGAGAGAGGAGGACUGUUCUUCAGGCAAGGGUGUAAGAGUAGCUGCACUCCCCUGCUAGAACUUCCAAACAAGCUCUCAUCUAAUGCCUACCAUAAACCUGUCAUUUGUUAUCUGUUUUUGUAUUUCAAGGUACUGUUGCUUUUUAAUUGAAAUGUGUUUAUUUUAAACAUGAUU